GCUGUGGACGAUAAUUUAAUAUUCGAUUGGAUGUUUUAUAACAUUUUGAGUUUCAGCCAAGAAUCUGAAAAUUGAUAGAGGCUUUUAGUAACUUACCUUAAAGUAACUAUUAGCUUGUCGCAUUCGGCAAUCCUCGGUAGAAUCCGCUACUCUCCUUCUAUCCUUAGAUGAGGGUACGGAAUCGGCCGAGUUGAGACGAUGAGCUUGUCGUAAUGUUCCAUUGUACUGUUUUAAUAUUUGUGUGUUUCUCUGUCUUGUAUGUUCUUCCUUUUAUUUGUAUUGUAGUCCUGUCAUGUAAUGUUGUCAUUUUAGUGUAAUAUUUAACAUCGUCAUUGAAGCGGACGGUUUGGCUAGCCACAAAAUCAGGUUCAAUCCACCAUUUUUUUUUCUUAAAAUGUUCUGGAAAAUUGCUAUUGUUAUAUAUAAUUAUCUUAUAGUUCGCUUCUGUUGUGUCGUUGUUCUCCUCUUAUAUUUAAUGUGUUUCCCUCAGUUUUAGUUGGUUACCCGGCCGGAUUUGUUUUUUCUCAAUCGAUUUAUGAAUUUCGAACAGCGGUUUACAACUGUUGCCUUUAUUUAGUCGUUCAACCCGUUUCCCUGAUAGUAAUUUAGAUCUAGCUUACUGUUAGUUUAAAUUAAAUAUAGAAAUAAUCGUUUGACGAAUUAAAUUGAUGUAAUAUACCAGUAAAUAAAAAAGAGAAUACAACCCGACCAUAGAGC
rnacentral:lncRNA from 1 species